rnacentral:piRNA from 1 species
UNGCCAGGGCUUGGUUUAAGCUGUUGUGC